GGAAAAUGUUGUCCUUGACCCUCUCAGGGGCCCUGGCUGACAAAGACAGGCUCACAGGGAAAAGCACACACGUUUAUUUAAUACAAGUUCUCAGGGAGGUGGUGAGGAAGCGGAGGGCCAUGUUUGUUUUGGGGUGGCCUGCCCGGAAUCUCUUCAGGGGCUUGGCUUCCUUGGAAUUCCACUUCCCUUGCCUGUGGUUGCUGAUCAGCGACGGACCGGGCCAAGGACAAAAGAGACAACUAGGUAGAAGAGAGAGAGACAGCCAGCGAGAGAGGGAACACAAGCAGGAGGAGUGGGAGAGGAAGAAGC